UACAGAGGUCUCAAGCGUUGUUCGGAUUCAUUGGGCGUAAAGGGUGCGUAGGCGGCGCGGUAAGUCGGGUGUGAAAUCUCGGAGCUUAACUCCGAAACUGCAUUCGAUACUGCCGUGCUUGAGGACUGGAGAGGAGACUGGAAUUUACGGUGUAGCGGUGAAAUGCGUAGAGAUCCGGCAGAAGACCGGUGGCGAAGGCGGCCCCCUGGGCAGUAACUGACACUGAGGCGCGACAGCGUGGGGAGCAAACAGG
rnacentral:rRNA from 1 species